rnacentral:rRNA from 1 species
UACUAGAGUAGCACUCGCAUAUCAAUAAGCGGAGGAAAAGAAACUAACAAGGAUUCCCCUAGUAACGGCGAGUGAAGCGGGAAGAGCUCAAAUUUGAAAUCUUAAAGGGUUUCCCUUUACGAAUUGUAGUUUAAAGAAGUGUUUUCUGUUGAGGUUUUGGUAAAAGUUCUUUGGAAUAGGACAUCAUAGAGGGUGAGAAUCCCGUAUUUGACCUUUACUUUCAACUUUGUGAUACACUUUCAAAGAGUCGGAUUGUUUGGGAAUGCAGUCCAAAAUGGGUGGUAAAUUUCAUCUAAAGCUAAAUAUUGGCGAGAGACCGAUAGCGAACAAGUACCGUGAGGGAAAGAUGAAAAGAACUUUGAAAAGAGAGUUAAACAGUACGUGAAAUUGUCAAAAGGGAAGCGUUUGACACCAGUGUUGUUUUUCUGAAAAUCAAUUAAAGAACUGUUUAUGCUAAGUUGUUUAGACUUUAUCAGCUAUCUGUUUAGUUUUGAGCUUUUCUUUAAUGCACUUUUCAGUUAACAAGUCAACAUCAAUUUCUUUUGCUGUAAAAAAGCUUGAGGAAGGUGGCUUGAGAUUCGUCUUAAGUGUUUAUAGCCUCUUGCCUAUGCAGUCGGAGAGAUUGAGGUCUGCAGCGUAGAUCCUUCGGGGCUAAAUGCAUUUGUGCUAAGUUAUAGCAUUUUAUAGACAACUUGUUGACUAUGAUUUGUCUUGUAGCUUACUCGCUUAUGUUAUUUUACCUACGCUUAGGAUGUUGAACUACUGAGACAUAG